GUAGUCAUAUGCUUGUCUCAAAGAUUAAGCCAUGCAUGUCUAAGUAUAAACACGUUUGUACUGUAAAACUGCGGACGGCUCAUUACAACAGUUAUAAUUUACUUGACAUUGAAAUCUCUACGGAUAACCGUGGUAACUCCAGGGCUAAUACGUAAUAAGAUCUCUCUCACGAGGGUGUGCAUAUUAGUAUAAAACCAACAUCUGGUUGAAAUAUAAUAUUUGUCGGAUCGCGUUGGCUUCGACCAGCGACAUGUCAUUCAAGUUUCUGCCUUAUCAGCUUGACGGUAGGGUAUUGGCCUACCGUGGCAUUAAUGGGUACGAGGAAUUCGGGUUCGGUUUCGGAGAGGGAGCCUGAGAAACGGCUCCCACUCUUACGUGAGGCAGCAGGUGCGCAAAUUACUCACUCUUGACCCAAGGAAGUAGUGACAAGAUAUACCGACCGUCAGCCAUUGGUUGGCAUUCGGAAUGAGAGUAACCUAAAAUCAUUAUCGAUCAUCAAGCGGAGGGAAAGUCUGGUGCCAGCAGCCGCGGUAAUACCAGCUCCGCUAGCGUAUACUAAAACUGUUGCUGUUAAAAAGCUCGUAGUUGGAUAUCAGGAGGGGCGGCAUGACCCGAUAGUGAUGCAGUCUUGUUUUGUUAACAUGCUUGCAAAAACUUUUGUGUGUCAAUACGGCUCAGGCCGACGCCGCCCCGACUUACUUCAGGACUGUAGGUCUGUUCAUUCAUUUGAAUCGGGCCUGCGUGUCCUGAUCUUUUACUUUGACAAAAUUAAAGUGUUCAAAGCAGGCUGUCGCCUGAAUGCAAUAGCAUGGAAUAAUAAAACAAGAUUUUGGCAUUAUUCGCGCGAGCGAAUAAGUUUUUGUUGGUUUGGGCCAAAGUAAUGAUUUUUAGGAACAAUUGGGGGCGCUGGUACCGCCGGGCCAGAGGUAAAAUUCUUUAAUUCUGGUGUGACCAACUUAUGCGAAAGCUUCCGCCAAGUGUGUUUUCUAUAAUCAAGAACUAAAGUUGGGUGAUCAAAAACGAUCAGAUACCGUUGUAGUCCCAACCAUAAACGAUGUCGACUAGGGAUUGGGCAAGUUUAACUUCCUCAGCACCUUGUGAGAAAUCAAAGUUUUUGGACUCAGGGGGGAGUACGUUCGCAAGAAUCAAACUUAAAGGAAUUGACGGAAG
rnacentral:rRNA from 1 species